UCUGCGCCCCGUAUCAACGGUUCGCCUAUCCUAGUCAACAUGAACGUACUGAUGAUUGUGUGCGUGUUAGUCCAUUUCAUCGGCCUAGCAUUGGCUGGAGUCAUUCAUGACUUCGGCUACGACGACCACGGCUACUAUGGCUACAGUGACCACGACCACUACGGAUAUCAUAAGGAGGUGCCCGGACCUUCUUUCCUCGUCAAAACUGUUCAUCACGUGAGCAAGCUACAUCAUGGAGGGCACUUGCACGGAGAUGCUUGGUGAUAUUUCGUGCUUACAUGGAAAGCCAUUGCCGGGUUACGACUUUCCGCAAACUCUUAGCUCAACACCGGAAGACAAGCCAACUGACAGAGCGAGCUCAUUGUGGUGAAAGGGCACACAUCAAUCAUCAUCAGUUAUCGAUAGUGGUCGGUGCAAUCACGCAGCUCAACAAGUGGGGCGCAAUAAUAAUAGUACACUAAAAAAAUGGCGCAUGUACGUCGUGUGCAAUAAACUUCGCUUCUCAUAG